rnacentral:rRNA from 1 species
UACGGAGGGUGCAAGCGUUGUUCGGAAUUAUUGGGCGUAAAGGGUGCGUAGGCGGUUUGGUAAGUCUGAUGUGAAAUCUAUGGGCUCAACUCAUAGUCUGCAUCGGAAACUGCCGGGCUUGAGUAUGGGAGAGGUGAGUGGAAUUCCUGGUGUAGCGGUGAAAUGCGUAGAUAUCAGGAGGAACACCUGUGGCGAAAGCGGCUCACUGGACCAUAACUGACGCUGAUGCACGAAAGCUAGGGGAGCAAACAGG